UACGGAGGAUGCGAGCGUUAUCCGGAUUUAUUGGGUUUAAAGGGUGCGUAGGCGGUCCGGAAAGUCAGCGGUAAAAGCCCGGGGCUCAACCCCGGCGAGCCGUUGAAACUGUCGGACUAGAGACGGCGAGAAGUACGCGGAAUGCGCGGUGUAGCGGUGAAGUGCAUAGAUAUCGCGCAGAACUCCGAUUGCGAAGGCAGCGUACUGGCGCCGGACUGACGCUGAGGCACGAAAGCGUGGGUAGCGAACAGG
rnacentral:rRNA from 1 species